CAUGUGGUUUAAUUCGAAGCAACGCGAAGAACCUUACCAGGCCUUGACAUGCAGAGAACUUUCCAGAGAUGGAUUGGUGCCUUCGGGAACUCUGACACAGGUGCUGCAUGGCUGUCGUCAGCUCGUGUCGUGAGAUGUUGGGUUAAGUCCCGUAACGAGCGCAACCCUUGUCCUUAGUUACCAGCACGUUAUGGUGGGCACUCUAAGGAGACUGCCGGUGACAAACCGGAGGAAGGUGGGGAUAACGUCAAGUCAUCAUGGCCCUUACGGCCUGGGCUACACACGUGCUACAAUGGUCGGUACAAAGGGUUGCCAAGCCGCGAGGUGGAGCUAAUCCCAUAAAACCGAUCGUAGUCCGGAUCGCAGUCUGCAACUCGACUGCGUGAAGUCGGAAUCGCUAGUAAUCGUGAAUCAGAAUGUCACGGUGAAUACGUUCCCGGGCCUU
rnacentral:rRNA from 1 species